rnacentral:misc_RNA from 1 species
GAUGAAGAACGUAGCGAAAUGCGAUACGUAAUGUGAAUUGCAGAAUUCAGUGAAUCAUCGAGUCUUUGAACGCACAUUGCGCCCUCUGGUAUUCCGGGGGGCAUGCCUGUUCGAGCGUCAUUAUAACCACUCAAGCUCUCGCUUGGUAUUGGGGUUCGCGGUUUCGCGGCCCCUAAAAUCAGUGGCGGUGCCUGUCGGCUCUACGCGUAGUAAUACUCCUCGCGAUUGAGUCCGGUAGGUCUACUUGCCAGCAACCCCUAAUUUUUUUAAGGUUGACCUCGGAUCAGGUAGGGAUACCCGCUGAACUUAAGCAUAUCAAUAAGCGGAGGA